rnacentral:rRNA from 1 species
GCCCUUAGAGUUUGAUCCUGGCUCAGGACGAACGCUGGCGGCAGGCUUAACACAUGCAAGUCGAACGCUCUCUUCGGAGAGAGUGGCAGACGGGUGAGUAACGCGUGGGAAUCUACCCAGUACUACGGAACAACACAGAGAAAUUUGUGCUAAUACCGUAUACGCCCUCCGGGGGAAAGAUUUAUCGGUAUUGGAUGAGCCCGCGUUUGAUUAGCUAGUUGGUGAGGUAACGGCUCACCAAGGCGACGAUCAAUAGCUGGUCUGAGAGGACGAUCAGCCACACUGGGACUGAGACACGGCCCAGACUCCUACGGGAGGCAGCAGUGGGGAAUAUUGGACAAUGGGGGAAACCCUGAUCCAGCCAUGCCGCGUGUGUGAUGAAGGCCCUAGGGUUGUAAAGCACUUUCAACGGUGAAGAUAAUGACGGUAACCGUAGAAGAAGCUCCGGCUAACUUCGUGCCAGCAGCCGCGGUAAUAAGGGCG